rnacentral:rRNA from 1 species
CGGGUGAGUAACGCGUGAGGAACCUGCCUCAAAGAGGGGGACAACAGUUGGAAACGACUGCUAAUACCGCAUAAGCCCACAGCUCGGCAUCGAGCAGAGGGAAAAGGAGCAAUCCGCUUUGAGAUGGCCUCGCGUCCGAUUAGCUAGUUGGUGAGGUAACGGCCCACCAAGGCGACGAUCGGUAGCCGGACUGAGAGGUUGAACGGCCACAUUGGGACUGAGAUACGGCCCAG